CUUGGUGGAGCCAUAUGGCUCCACCAUGCUGCUAUCGCUUUUUCACUGUUAUACACGCGCGAUAUUUUUAAGCUUUACAUAUUUGUUUAAGAAGUUCGUGAAAGCUACACGUGUGCGGUUUGUGCAGGCCCAUUGCAGGGAGCCCCUCUGAGAGCCUCACUAGAAAUUCUUGCCUGUGGUUGUCCCAAAUUUAUUUUGUGGUGCAGCCUGUGGGCACCCCGGCAGAGGAGCACCCAGCUUCACAGGAUGCGGGGGAGGUACUCGAGGAGGAGGAGGACGGGGAUCACGAGGCAUCUACCUCAACC